rnacentral:lncRNA from 1 species
AUCUCUGGUGAGAUUGUGAGCAAGUAGAAACUAGAUCUCACAGAAGGCGGUGCUGAGCCAGCUUGUGAUAGAGAUUAUCGGCUCUUCUCAUCAUUUGUGAUGACAGAAGGAGAAAAGGCUCCCUUUGCUUCUGAGAGAGAUUAAAAAUGUGAAGAAAGAGGUUAUGUUUUCAGUUGGAGGGAAUUUCAGCUGAGAAAGAUGAGCAGGGAAGCACACAAAGGUCAGAAUCCUUUAGCAUUUGGGUAUCAGUGUGAGGGAAGAAGAGACUCUUGCAGGAUUUACUAUGUUUCUGCAGAAGCUAGGAAGUGCCAAAUAGUUUUGUUUCUGGCUUCGCUUAUAUCUGUUGUGUCCUCUCAUCUUUUCCUCUAUUCAGUUUCCAGCCCUGGGAUUAAUUCAUGGUGUAGAGUAGAGCUUCCUUGGUCUUGCAGGGGUCCUGUAGGAGAUGAAGAGAAAGGAAGGCUGAGACAAAACCUACAUCAUCCGGCCACAUCUGCAUUGGACCCAAGGCUGGGUGAACCACAUCUGUAUGGCUUCAGGCUGAAAACUGAAGACACUUAAAAGGCAAUGAUUGCCAUGAGUGGAAAGACAUCCCUGUGGAGAUUACUGAGAUGUGUUUGGAGCACGCCUUCAUGCCCAUGCAGUUUCGACAGAGCCUAUCACCAUGCAUGGGCUGAGGGAUGCAGUGAGGAGCUCUGGGCUACGACCAGCCGGGCUUUUCUUAGAUGAAACAAGCAUCCAACACCAGGCAGGCAAACCCAGCUCCAUCCAAAAAAACCCAGCACUGCAUGGAACAAGGUGGUGGAUGUGCAGGCAGCAGGAUUACCAGCGUCAUCCUGCCAGCUGGGGCUGCAAGGAGCGUGUGCCAGGAAGGAGGCCAAGGUUUCACAUUCCCUUAUGUCUAAAAGUCUUUACCAAGCACAAUGGUAUCUGG